rnacentral:tmRNA from 1 species
GGGGGCGUUUUGGAUUCGACGACGGCUACAAAACCUCCGGUGCAUGCCGAGAUGGUGACCAAUCUCGUUAAUCCAAAGUCGCAAACUUAUAGUUGCCAACGACGACAACUACGCACUAGCUGCUUAAACCCCAGUGUAGUGCCGUCUGAC